GACGAACGCUGGCGGCGUGCUUAACACAUGCAAGUCGAACGGAAAGGCCCUGCUUUUGUGGGGUGCUCGAGUGGCGAACGGGUGAGUAACACGUGAGUAACCUGCCCUUGACUUUGGGAUAACUUCAGGAAACUGGGGCUAAUACCGGAUAGGAGCUCCUGCUGCAUGGUGGGGGUUGGAAAGUUUCGGCGGUUGGGGAUGGACUCGCGGCUUAUCAGCUUGUUGGUGGGGUAGUGGCUUACCAAGGCUGUGACGGGUAGCCGGCCUGAGAGGGUGACCGGCCACAUUGGGACUGAGAUACGGCCCAGACUCCUACGGGAGGCAGCAGUGGGGAAUAUUGCACAAUGGGCGGAAGCCUGAUGCAGCAACGCCGCGUGCGGGAUGACGGCCUUCGGGUUGUAAACCGCUUUCGCUUGUGACGAAGCGUGAGUGACGGUAAUGGGUAAAGAAGCUCCGGCUAACUACGUG
rnacentral:rRNA from 1 species